AGCCUUGUGGUGAAGACACGUCGGAUUGCAAAUCCGAAGACGCAGGGUAACGCCUGCCGAGGCU
rnacentral:tRNA from 1 species